CGUUGAAACAUCAGUUCCUGUAGGAUCACUAAAGUUAAGCAAUGUUGAGUCUGGUCAGUAUCUUGAUGGGUGACCACUUAGGAAUACCAGGUGCU